rnacentral:rRNA from 1 species
AACGCUAGCUACAGGCUUAACACAUGCAAGUCGCGGGGUAACAUCUGGUAGAGCUUGCUCUUCCAGGAUGACGACCGGCGCACGGGUGAGUAACGCGUAUCCCACCUGGCCCAUACCACGGGAUAGCCCGUCGAAAGGCGGAUUAAUACCGUAUGCUGUCAUUAAGAUGCAUAUAUUGAUGACGAAAGGACUGGCGGUAUGGGAUGGGGAUGCGUCUGAUUAGCUUGUUGGCGGGGUAACGGCCCACCAAGGCGACGAUCAGUAGGGGUUCUGAGAGGAAGGUCCCCCACAUUGGAACUGAGACACGGUCCAAACUCCUACGGGAGGCAGCAGUGAGGAAUAUUGGUCAAUGGGCGCAAGCCUGAACCAGCCAAGUAGCGUGAGGGAAGACUGCCCUACGGGUUGUAAACCUCUUUUGUUUGGGAAUAAAGUGCGGGACGCGUCCCGCAUUGCAUGUACCAUUUGAAUAAGGACCGGCUAAUUCCGUGCCAGCAGCCGCGGUAAUACGGAAGGUCCGGGCGUUAUCCGGAUUUAUUGGGUUUAAAGGGAGCGCAGGCCGUGGGUUAAGCGUGUCGUGAAAUUCCGUCGCUCAACGGCGGACGUGCGGCGCGAACUGGUCCACUUGAGUACGCGGGACGUUGGCGGAAUUCGUGGUGUAGCGGUGAAAUGCUUAGAUAUCACGAAGAACUCCGAUUG